rnacentral:rRNA from 1 species
ACGAGUGAGUAACGCGUGGGAAACUGCCCACCACUGGGGAAUAACGUUUGGAAACGAACGCUAAUACCGCAUACGCCGGAAACGGGAAAGAUUUAUCGGUGGUGGAUGUGCCCGCGUUGGAUUAGCUUGUUGGUGGGGUAAUGGCCUACCAAGGCGAUGAUCCAUAGCUGGUCUGAGAGGACGAUCAGCCACGCUGGAACUGAGACACGGUCCAGACUCCUACGGGAGGCAGCAGCUAAGAAUAUUGGGCAAUGGAGGAAACUCUGACCCAGCCAUGCCGCGUGAAUGAAUGAAGGCCUUCGGGUUGUAAAGUUCUUUUAGUCGUGAAGAUGAUGACAGUAGCGACAGAAAAAGCACCGGCUAACUUCGUGCCAGCAGCCGCGGUAAUACGAAGGGUGCAAGCGUUGUUCGGAUUUACUGGGCGUAAAGCGUCCGUAGGUGGUUUGUUAAGUCAGGGGUGAAAUCCCAGGGCCCAACCCUGGAACUGCCUUUGAUACUGGCAAGCUGGAGCGCGAUAGAGGAAGAUGGAAUAUCUGGUGUAGGGGUGAAAUCCGUAGAUAUCAGAUAGAACACCAAUGGCGAAGGCAGUCUUCUGGAUCGUUGCUGACACUGAGGGACGAAAGCGUGGGUAGCAAACAGAAUUAGAUACUCUGGUAGUCCACGCCCUAAACGAUGCAUGCUUGUUGUUGGUUUCCUUCGGGGAAUCAGUGACGUAGCUAACGCGUUAAGCAUGCCGCCUGGGGACUACGAUCGCAAGAUUAAAACUCAAAUGAAUUGACGG